CCCCCCCCCCACCAUCCUCCCUAUCCUCCCUAUUCUCCCUUUCACCCUCUUCCUUUGCCAAUGUCGCUUGUCCUGAGUGCUGCAGUAGCUGCUUUUAGCCUUUUCAUUCUUUUACAGGCAAACUUUUGUAAGCCUGGUGAAACUAUGCUGGGGGAAGAAUUAACCACAAUUUCAGUUCAGCAAGACUUUUUUCCAGAUUUAAGGCUAGUAAAGAUCCAAGAUUAUUGUGAUUAAAAUGCUGAUCAUAAUUUGGCUCGUCGAAAAUGGCCAAAUAUGAUGUUUGAGUACCAGCUGAUUUGUGGAGUCGCAAUAAGAAGCACUACCAAAAUCUUAAAUAUUAGUUGACUGCUAUAAUACUAAUAUGUCCACCCAAAGAGCACAUUGGCAAAAUGAAAACCUCUGUAAUACAUCUUUUGUACCCUGAUUAUAAAUCAUCUCCAUACAUGUAGACCAACACUAAAUGCCAGCUGUAUGUAAGUGUCCCCACAUGUAUUUACUGUUUAGCCUCCUGUACUGUGCUGUCAUCCGCUUGAGUCAGACUGCACAUCUGUCAUUGUUGAUUGCUACGGUUGUCUGUGUGACAGAUGAGUCCUUCCCUCUCCGCUGGGAGUCUCUUCGGGGGAGGUGCAAAUCCCUCCGCAUCCGAGCAUUGGCAAUCAUGCAUAGCACCUUGAUGAGACACAGGCCCCCGCCAGUUGAUUGACUGGCAUUCUAACGUGAGGCGAUGGCUGCGAACACCACGGGCUUGUGGAACAUAAAGGCCGUAGGCGUGCGGCCCGGUCCUCGGCGCGCAGGAACACGCUUGGACACACAGAACAAAUCGCUGCGCAUUAAGAGUUCAUCCUUCUCCCUCUUUCCUGUAUUUGAUAUUGUGACUCGCUGAUAUCCAUCGCUAAUCUCAUUAGGCCAUGAGACAGAGCAGGGGGGCGUGUUUGCGUUGAAACUGCACUGGCUAGGUUUUACCUUUGAUUACACAAAUACCAGCCACUCCAUCUUGAAGGACGAUGUUUUAUUGCCCACUUCAGCAGUAGGAUAAUGUAUUCAAUCAAGGUUUGGAGAGUUCCUUGUCAUGAGCUGCAGAGGGUCAGAGAUAAUUAACUUUGAAGGGUCUGGUGAAAAUCGGGGUUAAAAGCAACCAAUCAAGUUAAGAAAGUAAUUUGCUUUCUCCAGUGUUGCACUGGUGAGGCAGUUACUCGUCGAUCCAAUUAAGUCUUUGGUUCAGACCCAGUGGGUGUCCUGCGGGAGGAGGGGGGGGCGGGCGUCCGGCUGGGAAACAUGGAGAAAGCAGGAAGAGAUCUCUGUGGAGGGGCUGUCUGUCACACAGGGAUUGUUUAGAGACACGUCUUUGAUUGCUCAAAUUUUCCAGUGCUGGGUUCCACCGUAGGGGGCUAACGGGGGCGGUUCAAUUCUCUCCUUCGGUCUGUCCUCCCCAGCGAGGACCGGCGUAGAUCCCGCUGGGUCAGCGGGACACUGAUUGGCCGAGAGAUUCUCUGCCCGCCGCGAGCAAGAGAGAGCAUGGCCUCGGCAGUCCUGCUGUUUGUUUAAGAGCAGGAAGCCAUGGGGAAAGGCUUAAUGUCUUAAUUGGUCUGAGUGGCAACGGACGGUACCUGACGAGACUCAUUAAUCAGAGCGGGGUGAAGAGGCUGGAGGCCUGGAUUGCAAGAGGGAAAGCGAGAGAGAGAGAGAGAGAGAGAGAGAGAGAGAGAGAGAGAGAGAGAGAGAUGGGGGGAGGUAUCAGGCCAGAGCUGUGUGUCAAGCAAGGCCCCUCAGCUGCUUUGUUGUUCUGCCGCACACCAUUCCCACACACCCACUGACACCUCGCAGCUGUGUCCGUCACACUCAGCCACUCAACCUCAGAGUGCAGAAUGGGGAUGCAACAAUAAUUAGAAUCUGCUUACACCCUCGCGCACAUGUCUUGCACAUGCAUGGCACAAACACGGCGACAUUACAAGUUUAAAAAAGCAUCCGUGAUUAAUGCCAUGUGCCUUCAGGCACAGGUGUUGAUACAUCCAUGGAGAAUUGAGGAUACCAAUUCAAUUCAAUUUGUUUUGUAUAGCCCAAAGCCACAAAUCACAAAUUUACCUCAGAGGGUUUUGUAAUCUGUACACAUGGCAGAAAAAACUCGAAUGGUAAGGUAAAAAGAAGAAACGUCAGGGGGAGCAACAGAGAGGGAUACCAGAUGGACCGAAGUGUACAGAACGAUCGACACAAUAGUUAAAACACCGUAGUAGUGAGCAGAAUUAAGGAUGAAUGAUGACUUCUAGUAAUAACAGCAGCAUUGAAUAUAGUAGAACAAGGAUAAUUAAAGCAGUAAUAGUAUUAUCCAUGCGACUGCUUGUAAUGAUGACAGUAGCAGUGGGUGUCAGUCAGGGUCCAGAAAACUACAAUCUACAGAAUCCUGCAAGGACAGAAAGCACAAAAACUCCGCGGAAGAAGCUCAGUCAUCGGUAACAGUAAUGUUAAUGUGACUAAUUACAAGAAACAAUAAUGAUAGAAGCCAAGAACCCUGGUUAAUAACUAAAGGCUCUGGCUGACAACAAAAAUACGUUAAAGAGAUUGACAUACUAUUAUAUAACAAUAUAUUUUUAUGACCAUGUGUUCCCUAAUUUGUUAAUACGUAGGAUAUUUCUAUGCUAAAAAAAGGAUCUACGCUUUGUGUUGCAGCAGGGAAGUAAAAUCCAAAGUGUUUACUCAAAUCGCAUGUAGUGAUGCAUUCCGAUACCAGGUAUGACUGGUUGGAGUUGUCCACUUGUGAGAAGACGUAGGACACGUGUUAAUGCUCGGUCUGUACAUGGCCGCAGAGACAGGAUCCGUGUUGUUCACAGCAUGUCCCCUUUUUGAGUUUCAUCCCUGUUAGUCAUGUCAAACCCGUCCUUUGUUUUUAUGUGGGCUAUUUCAAGCUCUGUCACACACAUGUGACAGCAAAGCUCUAAAGACCCAUAUAUGAAGAACACGCACACGCACAUUCAAUUCAUACAAAAGUGUUCCCUUUGGGCCAGUCCAUCAGACAGUAGCAAUUGUUUAGGGACGUUCCUCUGCACAAAGUAGAAAGGGGGAAAAAAAAAGUUAUCUUCUCCACUGUCUUUUUCAGCUUGUCCUUUCAGCAUGUUUGCCCCGAUUUUGUCCAGGUCACUUCACCUAAUGGAGUCAAAUUAAAGGCCUGAGGCCAGGAAUUGUCCGCUGGAUAGAAACAUCCAUGUUUUAGGACAACGACUGCUCUCCCCAUGUGUCUCUGCCCCAGAGGGAAGUCACUUAGCUGCCUCUUACGUUGCCAUUUUCUCCGCCUAUUCACAAGGAUACCAUUAAAGUAAGGCUAGUACUUUGUUUGUUUCAGUGCAUUUGUGGUCUGCCUCUCUGCCUCCUCUGUAAAUGUGAUAUUACUGCUGUGCUGCUAGUGAAGUGCUCCAUAAACAAAAGUCAUGUAAUAGCCAACCGCGGUUUAUUUAAAACGUCAAUGUUUUUCUGUUUUCCAGUAAUGGUUUGGUGUUUGUUGAAUCAAUCAUUAAAUAUUAAUGGUUUUCCUUGGUUUUUCUUCCUUCCUUGUUCAAUUCUCUAUUCAAACCCCUUUCUGUAUUGCACUCAUAUUUUUCAAUAUAGUAUUUUAUAGUAUAUAGCUUCUAAUAAUUUAUAAUAUUCUCAAUUUUCAACUUUUGGAACAAUUUAGGGAUUUACUUUUCAAUCUGUCUGACUGAUGGUAUGAAUAAUUUGCAUUGUUUGUCAUCAGCUUCCAUAUAGCUUUAUCAGUAACCCGCCUGUAGUGAUUUAUUACAAAAGGGGGGAAAUAGGUGUAUGUUAUUUCUUAUUUCUUUGUUUUUUUUAAUUAGAAACUUCAACGGUUUGUUUGCCGUACGCUUGUCAUUGAUGUCAACCCUUUUCAAAAGUUGACUCCAGAAACACAGGACAAUCUAUCGCUUUAACAAACAGCGUCAUUGGCUGGUCACUGCCCCCACAGAGCCGCUUGACACAGCGCUUUGCAUCUUAGACCAAACUAAGCAGUGAUGACAUCCGUUGCGAACCAUCCUUCCCAUCCGCCUUUGCACAAUAUUUAAGGACAGUUUGCCUGGUGGGCAUUGUUUUCUUCAACUGUCCGCCCACCUUAACUCAUCAUCCUUAUUGUUCCUUCUGUUGAUGUAAAAUUCAAUAAAAGUGGCAGGCACCAUUUUGAAUUGAUUAUGAAUAGAUGCCACUGCAAGGCUGUCUAGAUUCAUGACAGCUUCAGGAGAGUUGAUGUACUGUAUUAGACAAAGUUGCUAGUGUGUGUGUGUGUGUGUGUAUGUAUGUCGGGGGGGGGGGGGGGGGGCUGAGUGGCGGUGUGUGGGGGCUUCUUCAUUAUCUUGACUUGAAAAGUGGUUUGCUCAAAAAUGUGGCACAUGGGUGACAAAUAGUGUCUGCGUUGCCCACCCCUCUUUUUUUUCUUCUUUUUUUUUUUUUUUGCAUAACCUUGCUGGUAGUGCACGGCAAAUCUGUCUCCUCACAUUUGUACAGAUAUGUUCAAUUGCUCACGGGGCAUGAAUUUCUCAUUGCCGCUGGAAGAUGGGGAGAUAAAGAUGAAAAACCAUCAAGUUUUUACUUUUCACAUGGCUGCACUCGACUCAUUGCUCUUCGAUGGCAUGCCCCUGCAACUUAAGCUGUGAAUAAUGACGUUUUUUAGUUCUUUUGACCUUGCCUCAUAUGUACACAACCUGACAAAUAUUUAACAACUUGCAAUUCCCACACCUGCUGUCUCUUGGCACACCAUCGGCCCAACACUCCUGUGGCGCAAGCAGGGCCAAGGAAGCUAAAAACCUGUCAGUGUCAUACUGAACUAUGCAAUGACAGGUGAUAACCUGGAAAAUAAAUGCAUUCACCCAUCUGGAGGGUUCAACUCCAGAACGCCGGCUGGCACUAUAGAGGUGGCAGUACAGUGAAGCAUGGAAAAGUCAUUUCAGUGAAUUUAAUACAGCUAAAAACAAAUUAAAAGUGCGCAAGACCUAGUUUAAUUGAUGUACAUGUGUCCUUGGUAUUUUUCCUCCCAGAAAAGCAUGAAAUGCAUUUGACUGCUCCUUUUUUAAUAAAUCUGUAUUGAUCUGCAGAGUGUGCUCCAGACAGCAAUCAAGACUUGCAACGCUCUGCAAGCAUUUCCUCUCUCAUCCUCAGGCAACAUUGAUUUUAUGAACGCGGGACUCUUCCAAACCUAGUUGGUGCUUUUAAAAACUUCAUUGUCCUCCAGCGCGUUAUCACCGUGGCUCAUGAGCCCUCUGUGUCCUUGGGAAUAACAACUAUUGCAGGAAAUGCUGCUAGAACAUUUGCCUCAUUGCCAUAAAAUAUACGUGUAGAAACUCCUGGAUUCCUUCCGUUGUCUUAAUCCAUGUUUUCCUGUGACCUUUUCUUUCUUUACCAUUUGUAUUUUAGUCUAUCGCUUUAACUUUGAAAACAGUCCAACGUGUGGUGGCAAUGUUUCUGCUGGAUAGAGUUAAAGUAUGAGGUAAAAGCUGAUUAGCAAGCUGUCUCUAAUAUAUUAAGGCCCUGUAAAUCAGCGUGCAGCUCCAAAAUCUUUGCCCCAAUAUUCCCCUGAACAAUGACUCCCAGAUGGUCCAGCCUCAAGGUCCAAAAUGUCCCGUUAGCAGACAAUAAAGAUGUCUCACUAAAUCUUUAUGACCAAAAUAUGCAUCUCAUUAACAGAUUUUGUGUCUGUUUUAGAGGAUCUUUCAAAGUGGUACUGAACGAAAAUGCAAAAUUGCCACUCUCACAGUUCGCCACAAAUAGAUGUAGAAACUGACACUCCCAACUACCCUGAACUGUUCCUUUGCCCCAUCAGCCUCUCUCUCUCUCUCUCUCUUUUCAUUAAUUAUAGGCUCAGCAUCAGCAGUGCGUCUCACAGCACGGGGUUAAUGUAGACGAGGAUAUGACGCUUGGGGAAGCUGGUGCCUGUGAGCAGUCAGCUCUCCACACCCCUCACAUCCCACUGUGCCACCCACAUCCACACGUUCUACCCACAUGCAGCUAAGUGCACCUCUUAAUCUGCUUUCAGAACUUUGCUAAACACUUGCGUGUUUUUAAGAAAAAAUCAUUUCCAUGCUAAAGUGGAGCGGCCAACACUGCGUGACACCUGGCGUUUUUCUUUUUCAUUCACACUGACAGGAAGAAAGCAUUAUAUUUAGACUUCUUUUCCAUUAAAAUAAAUUCUUUUCAGGCUCUGGAGCAGAUUUUAGGCUUUUAGCUUUAACAGCAGUGUAGAUAGUAAUGUCAAAAUGGAAUGUGUUGUUUGUUUGGGUGAACCGACCCUUUUUGUUAACAUGUUAGACACGUCUUCACAGUUGCUAAUUCUAAAGCUGAUGGACGUGUCCUUUUUUUGACCAAUGCAUUCUUUGUUACAUGAAGCGUUGCCUUUUGAUUCAUUCUGUGUAACGUUACUGUACUGCAUCCUGCACCAUGUCUGAGGAGAAGGCAUUUGCCCGUGCUCGGUUUAGGUGCGCAAUGUUAAAGUUAAACGGAUUAGCACGAUCAGUGUCAAUCAAAUCAUGUGAUUCAUAUUGCCUGAGGUGAACGUAUUCUUCUGAGACAAACACGAGUCAUGAUUAAUUACUUACAAACCAUAUCUUUGCUGCUACAUUUUGUCAGUUUUAUUGUAAAUGUGCUCAUGCACAGUAAACCCCCUAAAGCUCAGCUCAGUGAAAUGCAGCCCUCACAUCUCACCUGGGAAAUAAAUGCUGUUAUUCCUUUGGAUAAAUAAAUGAAUUCAAUUACGUUCUAUGCAUUGAAUAACUUAUAGUUCAGCUUCGCCUGCUUCAAAGCGAUUAAUGCCGCAGUGGGGAGUGGUGACUAAAACACGGGAGAGCUCUAUUGACAUUAAAUAAGAGAUCAUCACACAAGAUGAGACUCUACCUUUCACUGAAAGAGUCGUCACUCUCUCACAUCAGGGAGACUCACUGAACAGAACGAGAAGUUUGUCAUUUCAGCCGGGUUCUUUGAGGCGUCGCAUUGCACCUGCCGUGAGCUCGCGAUGGCCUUUCAGACCUCCACUUCCUGUCUCAAUCAGGGAAAAUGACUUGCUGCUACCUGCCUUCGUCAUCCUGUAAUUACACUUACUUCCAUUUCGAGACACAUGCCGAGCAGCCCUGACUGGUACUUGAGAGCUCCUGCCGAGGGACUGUGGGUUGGGUACCAACCAGGGACGAGCAGCAGGGACGAGAUGCGCAAUGUUGAGCUCAAGGAGGCAACACGGGAGACUGAUUGUUUUUUUCUUUUCAUGCAACCCCAGAAAAAAAACUUCCAUAUGGUAACUUAAAUUUUAAUAUGUGUGAAACAAAAGCAAUUCCAUACCAUGCAGAUAAAGCUUGCAGAAACACACAAUUCCACGUGGUUAACUAAUCUGUGGUUUGCCAAACAGUUUUUUCAUCAUCUUUUCAACUCCGCUUGUCACACCUGUAUGUCAAGUUGGGUUUUUGUCCUGUCUCCACGUUUGUUUUGUGACUUCCUGUUUUAUUUUGGAAAUUAACUCUCCUCUCGUUUCAGGUUCCUUGCCCUUCCUCAUGUGUCACCAGUCUGAUUGUCUUCCCUGAUCCCUGAUCGUGUCCACCUGUUCCCACACUUCCCUCAUGUGUACUUAUAGUCAGCGUCUCCCCUUGUCUUGUGCCAGUGUGUCGUCUCCUUUCGUCUUGCACACCCGCCUCAUGAUAGCAUCAAGUCCAAGUCGUAGUUUUGUCUGUCCCGAACCUUGUUAUAGAUUCGGCCUUAUCCCGUUUAUUGCUCCACAGCUCUUCAAAUUGCUCCAGAGCCCUUUUGUUAGUGAUUGAUUAUUUUCUUAUUUCCUCGGUAAGAGAGAUUUUGGUUUUGCAUUUUGCAUUUUUUACUAUUCAGUUCGUCGAGUUAAUUCAGAGCAUUUUUUGAUUUCCUUGUAGCUUAAUACCUUCCUCGAUAAGAGAGAUUUUUGGUUUGGCUUUUGCCGCGUUGACUUUUUAGUUCUACUUUGUUAGUUUCUCCUUUCCUUGCUAAGAGAGGUUUUUGUUUGCUUCCCGUCAUUUAGUAUUGCCCAGUUCUAUCAGUUUAGCCAGAGCAUUUCCCCAUUCAUCCCUCUUCGGAGUUUUUCGUUUCCAGAGAUUUCCUGGUGUAUUUUUGCUGGGAAAUAAAAGAUUGUCAGCAUCUCAACUCUGCGUCCGAGUCCUCCUCAAGAGCUCCCUUGGUGACACCGCUGUCUCAUUAUGUUGUGUUGGACAGGUCAUUGUUCCUUCUGAGCUUGUAAACUUUGUCGCAAUGCUUUCACACGAGGGUGCACAAAAACUGAAUUUUAAGAUUUUUGUACUGAAACCUCUAAAACAGCCUAUAAGAAGGCAGUAAAAUGGUAACAUUAUUAUGUGUGAUGAUGCUCACCUUUUCCAACCAUCGGCUUCAGCUAUAAUGAUCCACCCGAAAGUUUGGUUAGUUUUAACUACGCUUCUGUUGUGGCCAAAUGUUUUGUUGGUUUUGCAAGUUCUACCUAAGCAGUUUGUACCUGCUGUGAAACCCCGGACCAGUAGUUUAGAAGCCUGUCAGGGUGACUCAUUGCAAAAGAGGCUGUGCAGCCAUCUGUUUAGUGAAGGAAACAUGAGACACUGCUAUAGAGAAGUUAGUGUGCCCUCUGCUUUAUGAGUGGUAAACAUCUGUGCUGACUCUUACAAACCUGUACACAGUUCUAAUGUUUUGGUGCACAGAUGGUUCACGAGAUAUUUCACCCUCUUUGCUGUGUUGUCCACAGACGUUUACCCAUCCUGAGUCUUUUCAUUUUUUCAUUUUUUUUCAUAUGAAUCAUUAACAUUCUGGAUUCAUCCUUCCGAUAUUUAUUUUAGAACAUUAUGCCUGCUUCUCUCAGAAUUUUCCUUUUUUUUUCGUUAUGGACAAAAAUGUGAUAAUAUUUAGUCAGGAAUGGUGGAGUAGCAACAAGGGUUUAGCAUUUACAAAUAUAGAUCUCCUGGUCACACUGGUGUUAAUGGUUGGUUUUAGUUUGAUUUUCUGGUUCAAUGUUUUCUGAGUGUCAAAUGAACACAUGGUAACAAACAACAGCAUCUAUGGAUCUGGUUGACUUAAUCAGAAAAUCUGAUAAAACCAUAAAAAUAAUCUUUUGGGCAAAUGUUUUAUUUUUAAUAUUAACAGUAUAAUUAGUUAUGCUGGAAAGUGGCAUCAGUGUGAUGUGGUUAGUAUUAUUUAUGAGUUCUGAGCUUCAUCACCAUAAAGACAGACACUGAGACAGCUGAAUGAGUUUAUCUGUCAUGUCCGUCGCAUUUGCCUCAAUUAGAAGGUCAUUUUCUGCAAAUGCCGUUGUUCGGCUUUCUGGUCUAUAUUUUUUGUUGUUGCUUUCAACAGUAGUUGAGCUGUGUAAAUGCUCUACAUUAGGCACAUUAUGGGUCAAGGUAUAGUGCACCAUGAUGAGGGGCCAUUUUGCUGAAUGGCUUUCUUUCGGAACUGCAGAAAAUGGCCAUCAGACCAGCAUGCCAGAACAAUGGAGCUUGAUUAUUGUUUGCGGCUCAUUUUUUCUGCUGCGGGAGUAAAGACAUAUCAAAUGAAAUUGCAGUAAAAACUACAAAAAGCAAGAAAGGGAAGGAAAUGUUGCACGGCAUCAUUUUUUUGAAGCAGUUUCUUUUUUUUCUGAAUUACUUGUCAAUAAUUGGAUUGACUUCUGGAUGUGGCGAUAUCACAUUACUGCAGGAUAAAGGACAAGUCCAACCUGCAUGUGCUGUAAUGAGCUUUUUGAUUAGGAAUGAAAAUCCGCUGGAGGG
ensembl:lncRNA